rnacentral:rRNA from 1 species
CUACGGGGUGCAGCAGUAAGGAAUAUUGCGCAAUGGAGGCAACUCUGACGCAGCCAUGCCGCGUGCAGGACUGAAGGCCUUAUGGGUCGUAAACUGCUUUUAUUUAGGAAUAAACUCUUGUACGUGUACGAGACUGAAGGUACUAAAUGAAUAAGCACCGGCUAACUCCGUGCCAGCAGCCGCGGUGAAUACGGAGGGUGCAAGCGUUAUCCGGAUUUAUUGGGUUUAAAGGGUGCGCAGGCGGACUAUUAAGUCAGAGGUGAAAUCCCGGAGCUCAACUUCGGAACUGCCUUUGAUACUGGUAGUCUUGAAUACGGUUGAAGUAGGCGGAAUGUAGCAUGUAGCGGUGAAAUGCAUAGAGAUGCUACAGAACACCGAUCGCGAAGGCAGCUUACUAAGCCGAUAUUGACGCUCAGGCACGAAAGCGUGGGGAGCGAACAGGAUUAGAUACCCCCGUAGUC